CCCAUUAGCCCUCCAAAACCAAAGCCGCGCACGGAGCCAUGGUCGCCCUACCAUUAUCGCAAACACAGAGAAAGAAAAGAGCACCGUCGCCGUUGUAGCCAAUCCCGCUCAUCCACCGUCGCUUCAACCUCGGCAUGGUGCAUCGCCCGUGGGUACAGCACCCAUCCAUGGUCUCGCCGUGCUUGGAUGGCAUGAAGCGUGACCGGAAUUUCUCGUCAGGGCAAGGAAAUCACCGCCGAUGCCGUGGACAGAGGCUUUGUGCCAUGGAUAGUCAUUGAGAGGACCUCCCAGAUGUUCGUCGGGCCGAGUAGAAGCUUUGGGUAACACCAAUUUGGCGGGUAUUGCUUCGGGGCUAAGCUGAUUGCUCAUCGAAAGCACACCGCUGCCUCCGAUCGACACCCUAGCGUGGCCAGUACCUUCCCUAUCGUCACCAUUGGUGAGUUUCCCCUCCACAUGGUCACCAACUCACCAUCAUCCCCACUCUGUGUAGCUUCUAUUGGAUAGGCAAAUGACUCUCAUGUGCGCAAACGGGUGUGGCUCCGGCGAGCCCGCCACCACCUUCGCUUGGACCUUCGCUUGGAUCAUGAACAUCGAUCCGGAAUCGUGGGGCUUUCAUUGUAUACCGAUUUGAUGAGGGCUGCGACUAAUCCGGGCCGCCGGAUCAUGAUCAGGUGGCUGGGCAACAAACAGAUCCUUUUCGGCUAGCCUAUUUCACAUACGAGCCCCUGUGCUUUGGUGAAUUAAACCCGUGGUCUAGCCUUAGUCCAAAAUUAAUUGCGCAGAGGUCCUUUUCUUCGCAAAUUCAACCCUGAGCUUUUAUCUAAUAGUGGUCGCGGUCCAAACACCUUUGGUUAUGGAUAAAAUUAAUUCGAAAAUAAUUUUUAAUGCAAAAGUAAUUCCAAAAUCUUAGAAAAAGCAUAACUAAUUCUUUUUAGCUCCGAUUCAAUCCGUUCCAAUUGCAUUAGAUUCAUUAUAAUAUUGUCCAAACAGUAUAGUACUAAUUUACAUCAUAUUCUCCACUUUUAUAAUUGGAUAAUAAUUUAACCUAUGUUUAAAUAGAUUAAUCAUUUUUUAUUAAAAACUAAGUAUGAUUUUUUAACUUGGUUUUGAUUCAAUAGUAACUUAGAUUAUGGUGGAACUAUUUUCUAAUAAAUAUCUCCCCAUGGGAAUCACAUUAAUUAACAAAGAAUAUGUAUAUUACCACUAUUUAGCCUCACAAAACUUGGGAAAUCAUAUAUUUAUAACCGUAACUCCGAAUUUAGUGGUUCUCGAACCAGCGAUCUCGUUACAACGCGUAGAAUAUUAAUAUGUAGUUUGUGCUUAUGUUUGGUCUGAUGUUAAUUUUGCCUAUAUCAUGUUUGUUUGUAUUGCUACGAAUAGCAGUGAGGUCACGAGAAUUUGAAGAUCAUCCUGGUACCUAGAAUCUCGAGUCCCAGGCAAGUUAUGCCCUUGAUCACUCCUUUUUAGCUAAUAAUGUCUGCUGUUAAUCACUGUUACAUGCUCAAGUUAAUUUGAUGGGACCUAAUAGGUUUCCCUAGCAUUGUUUAUUCCCCACCUUGCAAACAGAUGACCUAUUGGGUAGAUUUGCUAUUGCUCUAUCUGGUUUUGGGAAACUAAUGUUUUAUUAUGAUCAUGUUCCAAUUAUGUUGUUUAAUUAUUGUUCAUGAUAAGAUCAUAUUGUUAAUUGGAACAUGGAGCGACCACUCGGUAAAACAGUGUUACCACAAGGAUGGUAUGGGACUGUAACACCCUGAAUUUGGGGGUAUAAAUUUUUUUUCUAAUAUCCACCAAAUUCAGGUGUUACCCUCUUACUUUCCUUCUUUUCUACUCUUUUUCUAAAUAGUGGAGAGUCAUUUUGUUUCAUAUAUGUGUAAGCCUAGUAAGAAUAGAACCCUAAAAGAGUCCUUGAUUAUUGCAUAACAUGCCGAGACAUUUUAUUGUAUGGUCAAUUGUUGUGGUGGUGCAUCCAUUCAAACUCAUGAAGUACAUUUGAAUUUUGGAUUCAAAAGCUAUAUCUAAAUUUGAAUACAAAUAGGUAAAAGAAUGUGGGAAGAAAAUAGAAACAAAAAGGCCCAGCUCGCCCCUUUUCUUUUUUCCCCGCGAGCCGACCCACCAGAUCCACUUCCUUUCCCGCGACCCAGCUCGCACUCUCCUCUGCUCGCGCUAGCCAGCCCAGGCACAGCCGUGGCCCAUCUCCUCUUAUCGGCCCAGCCCCUCACCUCGGCCUGCUCCGCGUUCCCCCUAGCCCUCCCACGUCCAGGCGCAACCACCUGCGUUGCUGGCCAGCCUGGCAGCCACAUGGCCGGCCCCAUGCAGCCACGUCCUACGCAUGUAGUCUCUAUUUUUUCCUUCUCCAAACCGCCAAGGUCGAGGCGUCAAGCUGCACGCACCCACGAUGUAUGCUUUCGUCUCCCUCGCGCUCGGAUCCACGGAGCGUUUUGACGGUUCGGCCGCCGGCCGGUGAGCCACCAUCGUGCUCGCCCUCGUGGCGCUCGGCCUCGUCGUGCCUGCUGCGAUCGUGCAGCAGCAGCCAGCAGGCAAGCCAGAGCCGCCGCUGCGGAGCCUGCGCUCGGAGCUCCGCCUGCACCAAGCUCAUCCCGCCGUCGCCGAUCAUCGUGAGCAGGCGAGUAUUUCCUUCUCCCUCCCUCCACCCGACGCCCAACCGCCUCCUUGGUCCCUGCCCACUCGGCCAAGCGGCAAGGUCGGCCAGAGGCCAUGGUGAGGGUGAGGCCCCGACGCAGCGGCCAGGGCAGAGCCCCCUGCGCGUCGGACCUAGUGUGCCUAGCCAGCCCAGCCCCCUUGCCGGUGAGCCGCCGGCAGCCGGCUCGGCCCCUACCCCCGCAUGUCUAUGGCGUGGCAUGAACCUCCGACCUCUCCAUCCUUGCGUGCGUACUGUAGUACGGGAAGAAGAAGCUAGCCUCAUGUGAUCCUAAACUUGGACCUUCUAUGGCUGCGUUUCGUGUGACCAUAGGUGUGGCUAGCCUAUAGCGAAUAAUAAUUAGCCACGUCACUUAAAAUUCGUGAAGUACUAAAUAUUUAAUAUAUGUUGCGUUAUAAAUCUGGUUCCCUUCGUUCAACUUACAUUAGCUUCGUAAUAAUUUCACCACUGAGUCAAUAAAGUUAUUUUAUCGUGACGUGUGUUUUAUCUAAUUAAUUAAUUGUUUGUUUGUUUAUCCAAUGCCUAUUAAAGUAGUGAUCCAAUUAAAACUAAUAUAUAGUUUUAAAUUUGCACAAGUAUAAUUGGACGUUAGCAUGAUUUAUGCCAAAUUAAAUGUCUAUAUUAAUUGGUUUAAUAUAUGUUCAUUCUAAACACGACAUUUGUUAAUGACUUCUUGCUUGUCGCAUUGUUCGCGCAUGUCGUGCGUCGAUGUUUGCUCAUCACACGUGUUGUUUGCGCGUCAUCGCGUUGAUUCGCGUGUGUCGCGCGAUGUCGUGCGCGUUGUUUCGCGAACCGCGGUGCUGUUUCACGUGCGUCAUCGCGUGUCGUUCGCGUUGUCGCGCGCCUUUUGCACGCGUUGUCGCGCGUGUUGGCGUGUCAUUCGCGUGCUGUUGCGCGUCAUCAUCAUUUCUUCGCGUGUUCGUGCCACGCGUCUGGUUCGCGUGUCGCGCGUAUCUCGCGUGUCGAUCACGUGUAUCGUGCGGCAUCUGCGCGUGAUAAUAAAUUGUUUUCAUUUAUAAACACUCAUGUUAAUAAUGUUAUUUCAUCAGGUCACAUAUUUUAAAUAAUUAACUUAAGGUUUGCUCGACUAAUAUUUAUUAGAUUAACAUUCCAAUUAGAUUAAAUGUGUAGUAUUCAACUUCCGCUUUUAUAAGAAACAUUAACAUGGCUAAUAUUAACUUAACUACUUUUUAUUUAUUUAGUAUUUGUUUAGUAUAAACGCGUCACGUAUUUAGUUUUUCUCGUCUGUCGUACGUGAUGUUUCGCACGUGGUGCCAUGCUGGUUCGCGCUGGCCGCGUGCACUAUUUCGUGUAUCAUCAGUGUGCUAUGUCGCGCGUGUCCGUGCUUCGGUUGCACGCUAUCAUGCUGUUUCGCGUGUCGCUCGUUGCUUGCACGUGUCGUGCGCUGUCCGCACGCGAUAUUAAACCAUUCGAAUAUAAUCACUGAUGUCCAUUAAUUAACUAUUUAUUUAAUCGUCCACUAUUAAAAUAGUAAGUUAGUCAAAGCUAAGUAGUAGUUUUAAUUUAUAUUUGAUAUGAUAAUGUCAAUUCAUGUAAUUAUAAUUAUGCUGAACUAAUAUUCUAUUUAAUAUUUGUUUAGCGUAAACCUGUUAACUUCUCGACCAUAGCUCCGACUAUCGCGUUUCUUUUUCCUCGCGUGACCGUAGUAGUGCGCUCUUUUUCGUUUUACAUGUUUUAUUAUAUUUUUCUUUGAAUGGUGUAAUGUUCAUAUAUAUAUAUAUUUGUUUUCUUGUGACUGUUCGUCUUCGCUUCGCGUUGCGAUUAGAUCGCGAUUCGUUUCCGAGCUUCGAGGAAUCGACGGUCAAGCGUUGGCGACCAAGUGAUCUGGUUCUUCGAGUUCUACGAGACUGAAUAUCCUGAGCAUCUGUUUGGUGAAGGAAAGUGUCCUCUGACCUAUUAUGUCCUACAUACUUAUAAUUCACCGUCCUGCAUUACAUUACUGAAACCUAAGGAUGGACUAGUCUGUAUUUACUUAUCCUUGCUUACCUUUUGGGUAAUCUUGGUUAGCUUUAUGCUAUUAUUUUAUUUUAAUCAAUGAACAUGAUGUGAAUAUUUAUGAUACGAUGAUGUUAUCCCGAUUAUGUUCUUGUGAUACUUUAGGGUACUCGGGCCAUUUUCCUGAGUACCUCUCAGUAAGGACCUGUUUGUGGAGCGACACCCGGGAUAACAGUGCAACCAUGAGAGUGGAAUAGGACACCCUUAGCUGAUUAAUUAGAGCAACCAGAGGAGUAGUUGGCUUCGCCAUAGGGCCGUCAAUGGGGUCCGGGCGCGUACAAUACUUGCUCUGCCGAGGCUGGUUGCAGAGGUUCUUGAUUUGGUUUUGUUAGCCACCCUUCUUUUGGGGAGAGGUACUGUGUUUAUCAAACUGGAGAAACCUAACGGGUGGCUAUGUCCUCUGGGAAAUCUUUGUAAAGGCUACGUAGUGAGACCCUGCUAAGUCACCUUGGUAGUGAUCAAUGGAGAGUCAUGAUCUCCGGGCAGAACGGGAAUCACGACUUGUGGGUAAAGUGUGUGACCUCUGCAGAGGAUUAGAAAUUGAUAUAUCAGUCGUGCUCACGUUUAUGAGCGGCCUUGGGAUCCUCUUUGAUUAGAGAUACAGAUUACCUGAGAUACAACGAUUCUAUUGAUGGUUUUGGUUACGAUGAUGAUAUGAUGUUCCUCGAUGAGGAAAUGAUUCACGUGUUGGUUAUUGCUAAAAUUUGGCUUCCACUAAUAAUAAAUACCUGACCAAUUAAAAGCAACUACUUGAGCUUAACCCACAUAAAGCUAGUCCACCUCAGCCAAACGGGACAUUUGCUGAGUACGUUGAUGUGUACUCACCCUUGCUUUGACAAAACACCAAGUUGCCUUUGGUGCAAUCUAUGCUUAGGUAAAGAAGAAGGCGUCGAGGCAGAUCUCCAGGAGUUCCAGGACAUCGAUGAGUUCGAGGAUUAGGCUAGCGACCUCCCCAGUCAGCUGCCUCUAGCGGGUUAAUUUAUGUUGGCUAUGUUUCGAUUCUAUGUACUUUGAUUUAUAUUAUUACUUAUUAUUUAUUGUUAUUCGAAGCAUUGUGCUAUGAUGAUUCAUUUAUGUAAUCGUUGUGUACGUGAGUUUCUGAUCCUAGCACGUACAUGGUUCGCAUUUGGUUUACCUUCCAAAACCGGCUGUGCAGGGACGCCCUUGGUUGACUAAUUAGGAAAUCUAGUGGAGGACUACCUUACUCGAAAGGGGCAAGGGCAGUAGGGGAGUGGUCGGUAUAGGGACGUUCUUGGGCUGAUUUUGUUGCGAUGGCUUUUCGGACGGGGGAUUCCUAUGUUGCGCUUCCUAGAAACUGUAGCAGGUUUUCUGAAGCUAGUGGAACUUUGUAAAGGCCUCGUAGUGGUACCCUUCCUCGCUUCCUUGGUAGAGGUGUAUGGGGUCUGAUCAACUCCAUGGCAAAUGGGUAACACGACUUGUGGGUAAAGAUGUGCAACCUCUAUAGAGUGUAAAACUGGUAUAUCAGCCAUGCUCAUGGUCACGAGUGGCUCGGACCCUCACAUGAUUAACUUAUGGAAUUAAACUCAAUUUGUCAUAUGCAUUGCAUCGCGGGUGUUGUUAUUAAUAUUGAUCUCUUAUUUAAUUGGGUUGGUAUCUACUUAUACCUAGUAACUGUUAAUAAAUUUUUGACCAACGUUAAAAGCAAUGCUCAGCUUAAACCAUCCUCUUUGGUAAGCCUUACACUUCAUAUGAGCUCCCACCUUUGGUGAGUUCAGGCACAUUAUUUCCCACAACUUGUUGAACGAUGAACAUUGUGAGCUCACCAUUGUUGUACUCACAUCCCCCCAGGUCAAGAAAAGGUACCCCAGGAUGAGGAGCAUGGAGGAUGGCUCGAUGUGUUCGUGAGAGGUCUAGGUCUUCGUCUCCCUGUCAACUUUGGGUUGUUGGAUCAUUGUCUUCAUAUGAUGUAAUUAUUUAAUUAUUUUGUACAGAACUUUGUUAUAUAAAUGAUGUGACAUUCAUUUCUGUACCAUGAGUCAUCAUAUGUGUGAGACUUGAUCAUAGCACACUUGGUGAUUAUUCCACGCCCGGGUCUUGGUGCCCCCGAAACCCGGGUGUAACAAGGACCUAGGAGUAGGAUUCGUAUUUCAC
rnacentral:lncRNA from 1 species